rnacentral:rRNA from 1 species
UUGAACGCUGGCGGCGUGCUUAACACAUGCAAGUCGAACGAGAAAGGGACUUCGGUCCUGAGUAGAGUGGCGCACGGGUGAGUAUACCAUAGAUAAUGUACCUCUUAGUUCGGGAUAGCCACUGGAAACGGUGAUUAAUACCGGAUACUCCUUCUUACUCUAAGGUAAGUCGGGAAAGUUUUUUCGCUAAGAGAUCAGUCUAUGUCCUAUCAGCUAGUUGGUGAGGUAAUGGCUCACCAAGGCUAUGACGGGUAUCUGGUUUGAGAGGAUGAUCAGACACACUGGAACUGAGACACGGUCCAGACUCCUACGGGAGGCAGCAGUGAGGAAUAUUGCACAAUGGAGGAAACUCUGAUGCAGCAACGCCGCGUGGAGGAUGACGCAUUUCGGUGUGUAAACUCCUUUUAAGAGGGAAGAUAAUGACGGUACCUCUUGAAUAAGCACCGGCUAACUCCGU